AUGACCGUCACGUUGGAUGCCUCCCGUGACGAUGACCAUCGAACUGCCACAACCUUGGAGGACCGAAGCGCCCUACUGGACGCACCCAGACCACCGAUUCAGUGUCCAACUCUGCGGCUACCUCAGCUGAGAGUGGCCAGGGCCGAGAGGCUGGGGUGCAGGUGCAGCAAGAAGGCGUCUUCGGCGCAGGCUCCGGUGGUGGCCAAGGGCAUGCCGCUGCUGGCCUCGGCGCUGGCGCUGGUGGACGAGCCGAUGUCAAGUGAGGCCACCGGGCUGCGCAACGACCUGCUGGGGUGGGUCCUGCUGGUUGCCAUCGGCCUCCUCUUGUGCUUCUACACCGUCUACUCCUCCACCUUUGACGACGACGACCUGUCCGGCGGCGGCGGCAUCAUGCUCUGA
rnacentral:rRNA from 1 species